CCGCAGGGCGCUCGGUCCCGACCCCGCCCCGCCCCGCCGAGGGUUGCUUGCGGCCGCGCAGGCAGAGCUUCCCGGUCCCCGGGCUGCGGGCGGUGGGUCUCCCGGGACGCGGCGCCGGCUCUGCGUGCCCCGGCGGGGGAGGGGUGGGGGGAGGGGCGCGCGGCCGCGGGUUCCGGAGCCGCGACCUGGCCCGGCGGCCUGCGAGCCUCCCGGGCUCUGCACUCGACCCCGCGCCCGGUGCCCCCGAUCCUCAUCCCGCGCCCCGGAUCGGCGUCCCUGAUGUGUACCCCGAGCCCCUUAUCCACAUCCGUAAUCCGCACCCCGGUUCCUGCCCGGCACUGGUCGGAGAGUAGGCGCGGGAGGGAGGCGGCGGCGCGGCUUGACACCUGGGCUGUGGGACCCAGUGCGCUGCCGCCUCUGCCACCUUCCGGUCCUGCCCGGGCCAGCCAGGUGAAAACCGGAGCUGCUUGUCAAGUGGUUUGGCUCCGGGCGUGUUCCUGGCGCGAGUUCAGCUCCCGGACCGGUGCGUUUCUGCGCUCGGGUUUUUCAUUCGAAACUUUCUGCUCGGGUCGAGCGUUACUUGCGUGCUGCGGCUGCGCCUAGGUCGCUCGCUGCAGUGGGCGGUGGGUGUGUGCGCGGGCGGGUCCCGCGUGGUGCUCGGGACUGGAUCCACCAGCUAUGAUGUUUCAAAUGUGCCAGCGCCAGCCACCUCCAGCCUGGACGUGCAGCCCAGCUGGGCAGCUGCUGUCGCAGAAGCCUUUCCCCGAGAGCUGGGUUUUCCUAGGCGUCAGAGCGCCGCCGCGUGUUCCUCUUUCCUGUCUGGGUCUCCUGGACCAGCUAUCAACAUCUUUGCUCACAUUGUUUGCCUCGCUGUUCCUUUUGCAAGAAAUUUGUGUGUGGUAUCUUUGGUACUAUGGAGUCACCUUUAAUAAAAUUCCGAAAUAUUUGUCUAUCUUUAUUUUGCAAGGGGUGGGAUAACCCUCUGCUCGCCUAGGUGGCGGUGGUUAUAAUCCGCAUUGGCCCUAGUCUCAGCCCAGCGGGGAGUUCCCACCCAUUUGGUGGCAUCUAGGAAAACUGAUGGUUUGGAGGUAUUUUACAACAGGAUUGUUUUAAUUCAAAAUAGAAUAUAACUUGAGUCUAUUUAUAGGACUUCUUAAGAUGUGGAUAUAUACGAAAAAAUAUUUUUAGGCAAAAAGACUUGAAAACUGGAAGGUAAAAAUUGAAAAUUUAAAAAAGUUUUUAUUAUUCUGUGUGUGUGUUUGGGUUUGGAUGUGCAAGAGCCUUGACACCUGUGGAAGUCAAGGAACAACUUUCAGCAUUUACUUCUCUGACCUUCGGGAACUGAGCAGGGUCGGGCCUGGUUAGUACUCAAAUGGGAGACUACCUGGGAAUACUGGGCCUGUAGGCUCAAGGAAAAAAAAAAGAAUCGAUUCUCUGUUAUGUGUAGGACUGGGUGAUCGACUGGGGUAUGGUGAUAAGCAUCGUUAACUUGUGAGCUGUCUCCCUGGCUCCCAUAUCAGAUAUGGGAUAUUUAAAAAUUGAACUCAAUGUAGGCUUCUGAUAGUUUAAGAUGCUUUUUAAAAACUAGCACUAUUUCUGAGGCAGUGAUGGUGCAGCCUUUAAUUCCAGCAUUGGGGAGGCAGAGGCAGGCAAAUCUUGAAGUUUUGAGGCGAGCCUGGUCUACAAGAGCUAGUUCCAGGACAGCCGGGGCUACACAGAGAAGCCCUGUUUCACCUUCCCCAGUCCUUAAAAAGAAGUGUUAUCACAGGGCUGAAGAGAUGGCCCCAUGGUCAAGAGCUCCCUGCUCUUGCAGUGGAACCUGGUUUAGUUCCCAGCACCAAAAUGAUGGCUCACAACCGUUUGUGUCUCCAGUUCUAGGGGAUCUGAUGCCUUCAGCUCUGAUGGGCAGCUGCAUACAUGUGUUAAACAUGUAGGCAAGAGUCAUAAAAGUAAACCUUAAAAAGCAGUGCUGGUUCAAACUAUUCAAAACCCUAUUUUUUUUCCCUUCGGUGAACCAUCAAAAUUCAGUAGAUCCCUGAGUGAGUGCUGGGGCUUAAUUGUAGCUUUUAGCACAAGGCAUUGUCAGUGUUGGGGUGGGGUGGGGGUGGGGGUGAGAGCAGCCUGUCAUCCAUGGUAAAUGGAAAACUGCCUUCUAGGUUCACUGAAUAGCCCUGGGGAGAAGGGACCUCAGGAAGCUGGGGGGGUCUUAGGCUCUCUUCACUUCACAGGCUCCCCAGACAGGUUAGAAUCACCUGCCUUGUUUGGAUCCACAUUCAGGAGUCCUGAUGGUGAGUGUUUUUGCAUUUUAAGUCUGGAGGAGAUGAGUUUCAAACUGUGGUGGUGACUGGCAAACUUGAGCGAUGUGGCGAUGUGGCGGGGCCUGGCCUGAUGCAGUGUGACCUGCAUUUGUCACUAUCUCCUCCUUAUGUGCAAACUGACUUCUUUGAUCUUAGUUCAUUUGGUUCUGUGAAUUGCACUCAUAUGCAGUGUUUAUAAAGUCCAGCUUGUCUCCCGUUUGACCCUCCCUGCUGUGGGCCUUGAGGUGUGGGACCAUGCUGUGGUAAGAGCUUACUCUUAAGUACUUCAGAACUGGUAGUUGCCAGGAGUGUUUUCUGAGUCGAACUUCCAUCUCAGAGUGUUCCAAUGAGUGCACCUGGUCAUUUUGCUGUUUUGACAGUAUGGGGAGCAUGGAGUUACUAUAUUGCCAUUCAGUCAUUAAGUAGAUUUUGUUUGCAUUAAUUAUUGAUUAAUUGAUGGAUUGAUUGGGACAGAGUCUCCAUGACACAGUUCUCCUGCCUCAGCCUGGGUAUUGCUGAGAUUACUGGUAUGCACCAUCACACUUCAAUUGCACAAGCUGCAGAGGCUCCUGAGUGUAGGCACGUGCUCUGCCAAGGACUGUGUGUCCAGUCCCAUGACUUACUGAGACAACAAAAGUAUAACAUCUUUUAGAGAUCUGGGUGUGGUGGUAUGCUCUUAUAGGCCCAGGUGCUUAUGGAGGCUGAGACAGGAGGAUUUCUUAAACCCUCAAGUAUAUGGUCAUCCUGGGCAGCAAGGAGACUUGGUUUUAAAAAACAUGGUGUUUGUUUUUAACAUUUUGGUGCGAGAGAUGGAACCCAGGGCCUCAUCCACCCUCAUUUAUGAUCCUUUUGUACAAGGUGGUAUAGGUCAAGUCUUACUGUCAGUGUGACUUUGGUUUGGGUUUCUUUCACUUAGUGUACUUCCCUGUCCUGUUUUGGCAUGUCUCUUCUUUUUUUUUUUUUUCUUUUCUUUUUUUUUCGGAGCUGGGGACCGAACCCAGGGCCUUUCGCUUGCUAGGCAAGCGCUCUACCACUGAGCCAAAUCCCCAACCCCGUCUCUUCUUUAUAUAUCCAACAACAGUACAUCCUAUUGAUUGAGUUCUACUUAUAUAACCAUCGUUUGGUCCUGUUCCACAAUAUCACAGAGUAGUGCUUGACCAUGCUCUCUCUCACACACACCCAAACACACGUGCACACACCCUCCCUCCCUUGUGUUGGGUCUUUACCCACUGAGCCAUCUUCCCAGCCUGUAAACAAUAUUGUGUAGGAAAGACAUCUCCUUGGGAGCUGGGCUGGUUUUCAGAGGCCGAGGAGGGUGUAUUUCAGGGCACCUGCAGUUUGUUAAUGAGGCAUUGUCUUAAAAUAAGCGAAGGACUGACAACACUAAGAAGGUAUUUGGCUUUCACUGUUGCUAAAUGAAUCUUUCCUACUGUUUAGUGUUAUGUUUUAUCACUUGUGUGGAUUUGUGUAGGCACCGGAAGCAGCAGGCAGAUCUGUUUCAGUGCGCAGUCCCUGCAGCACUGAUGUUUUUGAAACUUUGAGAAUGUUAGUAAACAAAGCUAUACAGUAUCAAGAUGUAACUUUUUGACACUUAGACUUUUUUUUUCUCUCUGCAUACCUUUUUGUUGUUGUUGAACAGGCCCUCACCAUUUAGUCCUUGGUAGCCUGAAUGUGUUAUGUAUACUGGGUUUGUCAGGAACUCAAUGGGACCAGCCUAUCUUUGCCUCCCAGGACUAAAGCUGUGUACCUCCAAGCAGGCACUCUCUGCACGUCUUCGAGGCUUUUCCACAGUGUUGUCUAGAGCAGUAGUUCCAGCUCCUUUUUUUGUGGGUGCUUGGCAUGAAAACAGAGUCUUAGCUUGCUAACAAAGCAUCAGAACACGUAGCAAUACUGCCUUGCCCCCUACUCUGAGUUUGAGACAGGGUUUCCUGUAACUCAGGCUGCCAUGAACUUGCUGUGCAGUUGAGGAUGACCUUGAAUUCCCGAUAGUCCCUAGGAACCUAGGUGCCUGGGCCUUCCAGCCAGCACCUUUAUCUGAUGAGCCAUUCUGCUAGCCUGAGUUUAACUGUAGACAGCAUCCUGAGUCUGUGUGUCUGCGUGUGCAUUGCAUGCCUACAGGAGCUCAUAGACAUCAGAGGGUGUGGAUUACCACGUAGUACUGGCAACCAAGCAUGGGUCUUCGGCAAGAAAGUAAACGACUGAGGCACCUCUUCAGCACCCUAAGUUUGUUUACCUUGUAUAGGGGCAUAUUAAAGUCGGAGAGCUGGAGAGAAGUAGGCGGCCCAGCAGGUAAGAGCACUGGCUGCUCUUUCAGAGGACCCAGGUUUAUUUCCUAGCA